AUUGAACGCUGGCGGCAGGCCUAACACAUGCAAGUCGAGCGAGCGGCGGACGGGUGAGUAAUGUAUGGGGACUGCCCGAUAGAGGGGGAUAACUACUGGAAACGGUGGCUAAUACCGCAUACUAUCGGAUAACCCAUAUGGGAUUAGCUAGUAGGUGGGGUAAGGGCUCACCUAGGCGACGAUCUCUAGCUGGUCUGAGAGGAUGAUCAGCCAAACUGGAACUGAGAAACGGCCAAGACUCCUAGGGAGGCAGCAGUGGGGAAUAUUGCACAAUGGGCGCAAGCCUGAUGCAGCCAUGCCGCGUGUAUGAAGAAGGCCUUCGGGUUGUAAAGUUCUUUCGGUAGCGAGGCGUUACCUACAGAAGAAGCACCGGCUAACUCCGUGCCAGCAGCCGCGGUAAUUC
rnacentral:rRNA from 1 species